GUAAGUCGGGACCUAAGGCGAGGCCGACAGGCGUAGUCGAUGGAUAACCGGUUGAUAUUCCGGUACCCGCUGUGAAGCGUCAAACAUUGAACCAGGCGAUGCUAAGUCCGUGAAGCCGUCCCGGAUCCUUCGGGUGAAGGGGAGUGGUGGAGCCGACGGACCAGACUUGCAGUAGGUGAGUGAUGGGGUGACGCAGGAAGGUAGUCCAUCCCGGGCGGUGGUUGUCCCGGGGUAAGGGUGUAGGCCGUGCGAUAGGUAAAUCCGUCGCACACAAGGCUGAGACCUGAUGCCGAGCCGAUUGUGGUGAAGUGGAUGAUCCUAUGCUGUCGAGAAAAGCCUCUAGCGAGUUUCAUGGCGGCCCGUACCCUAAACCGACUCAGGUGGUCUGGUAGAGAAUACCGAGGCGUUCGGGUGAACUAUGGUUAAGGAACUCGGCAAAAUGCCCCCGUAACUUCGGGAGAAGGGGGGCCAUCACUGGUGAUCCGAUUUACUCGGUGAGCUGGGGGUGGCCGCAGAGACCAGCGAGAAGCGACUGUUUACUAAAAACACAGGUCCGUGCGAAGCCGUAAGGCGAUGUAUACGGACUGACGCCUGCCCGGUGCUGGAACGUUAAGGGGACCGGUUAGUCACUCUUCGGGGUGGCGAAGCUGAGAACUUAAGCGCCAGUAAACGGCGGUGGUAACUAUAACCAUCCUAAGGUAGCGAAAUUCCUUGUCGGGUAAGUUCCGACCUGCACGAAUGGCGUAACGACUUCUCGACUGUCUCAACCAUAGGCCCGGUGAAAUUGCACUACGAGUAAAGAUGCUCGUUUCGCGCAGCAGGACGGAAAGACCCCGGGACCUUUACUACAGUUUGAUAUUGGUGUUCGGUUCGGCUUGUGUAGGAUAGCUGGGAGACUGUGAAGCUCGGACGCCAGUUCGGGUGGAGUCGUCGUUGAAAUACCAGUCUGGUCGUGCUGGAUGUCUAACCCGGGUCCGUGAUCCGGAUCGGGGACAGUGUCUGAUGGGUAGUUUAACUGGGGCGGUUGCCUCCCAAAGGGUAACGGAGGCGCCCAAAGGUUCCCUCAGCCUGGUUGGCAAUCAGGUGGUGAGUGUAAGUGCACAAGGGAGCUUGACUGUGAGACCGACGGGUCGAGCAGGGACGAAAGUCGGGACUAGUGAUCCGGCGGUGGCUUGUGGAAGCGCCGUCGCUCAACGGAUAAAAGGUACCCCGGGGAUAACAGGCUGAUCUUCCCCAAGAGUCCAUAUCGACGGGAUGGUUUGGCACCUCGAUGUCGGCUCGUCGCAUCCUGGGGCUGGAGUCGGUCCCAAGGGUUGGGCUGUUCGCCCAUUAAAGCGGUACGCGAGCUGGGUUUAGAACGUCGUGAGACAGUUCGGUCCCUAUCCGCUGCGCGCGCAGGAAUAUUGAGAAGGGCUGUCCCUAGUACGAGAGGACCGGGACGGACGAACCUCUGGUGUGCCAGUUGUUCUGCCAAGGGCAUGGCUGGUUGGCUACGUUCGGGAGGGAUAACCGCUGAAAGCAUCUAAGCGGGAAGCCUGCUUCGAGAUGAGUAUUCCCACCCACUUGA
rnacentral:rRNA from 1 species